rnacentral:rRNA from 1 species
CCUACGGGUGGCUGCAGUGGGGAAUAUUGGACAAUGGGGGCAACCCUGAUCCAGCCAUGCCGCGUGUGUGAAGAAGGCCCUCGGGUUGUAAAGCACUUUCAGUGAGGAAGAACGCCUGGUGGUUAAUACCCAUCAGGAAAGACAUCACUCACAGAAGAAGCACCGGCUAACUCCGUGCCAGCAGCCGCGGUAAUACGGAGGGUGCGAGCGUUAAUCGGAAUUACUGGGCGUAAAGCACGCGUAGGUGGCUUGAUAAGCCGGUUGUGAAAGCCCCGGGCUCAACCUGGGAACGGCAUCCGGAACUGUCAAGCUAGAGUGCAGGAGAGGAAGGUAGAAUUCCCGGUGUAGCGGUGAAAUGCGUAGAGAUCGGGAGGAAUACCAGUGGCGAAGGCGGCCUUCUGGACUGACACUGACACUGAGGUGCGAAAGCGUGGGUAGCAAACAGGAUUAGAUACCCUUGUAGUC